CCUCCCUUCUAGAGCCCCCGGUUCCUUAGAAACCAGGCGGCGUGUUCACGGUGUCGGGACGCUAGAUUACGGUGGCUGCUCAAGCCCGCUAGUCUCCUUUAAGGCGGACGGGUGGCCUCCGAAACCCGUCCCGACCCAUGGUCUCCGGUGCGGCGCGGAGCGGGCAAUGCCAGCGUGCCAGGGUCUCACUAUGCCCUUCAGACUGGCCUUGAACUCACUGCGUAGCUCGGCUGGCUACAAACUUUGGGUGAUCCUCCUGUCUCUUGAGUGCUGGGAUUACAGGCAUGCACUACCGCACCCAGGGUGAGCCCUUUUUUUUAUUUUGACACAAGGUCUCACUAAAAUUGUCCAGGCAGAACUGAGACUUGGCUAUCCUUUGACUUUAGCCACCCUCAGUGCUGGGAUUCAGGUCUAUACCAUCUAGAAAUCUCUUAAUUAUAUUUAUAAACAUAUCCCAAGUCCCUGCUAUCUACAGUUUUGAUUAGUUUAAUAUGUCUUAGUUUAUUGAUUAACUAUGUAGGAACAAGAUCUGAAAUAUAGAACCAGGUGUACUAGAGCAUGCCUGUAAUCCCAUCACUUGAGAGGCUGAGGCAGGAGGAUUGCUGCAAGUUUGAAGACAGCCUGGGCUACAUAGUGAGUUCAAGGCCAGCCUGAACUACACUGUGAAACCCUGACUCCAAAAAAAAAAGAUCUGUUUUUCAACAUACAUUUAUUGGGCACAACUACAUAUCAGGCCUUGUUUUAAGUACUAAGGAGAGAGGUUAUAACUGAACAAAAUAAACAAAAAGAACAACUCCCCCAAGGAGCAUACAUUCAAGCUUGGGUCAUACAGGAG
rnacentral:lncRNA from 1 species